CUGGAACGACGGGCUGGCCUUCUGUGCUGUUCUCCACACCUACCUGCCUGCCCACAUCCCCUACCUGGAGCUCUCCAGCCAGGACAAGAAGCGAAAUUUCACACUGGCUUUCCAGGCCGCUGAAAGUGUCGGGAUCAAGUCCUCAUUGGACAUUGGAGAGAUGGUGCACACAGAGAGGCCUGACUGGCAGAGUGUGAUGACCUACGUCACUGCCAUCUACAAGUACUUUGAGACGUGACCCAUCUUCAAGCCUGAACACCUCGCUUGCCCACACGCACGUGUCCAGCCAGGGCUGUCAUCGCAACACUGGACAACCUUAGAGCAACAUCAGCCAAUGCUACCUGCGAAUAUGUCUGGGACCCUGAGUUCUACCUUAAGCUGCAUCACUUAACUUCACCAAUAUAUUCCAUGUUUACACUGCAAUGUUCUACAAACUCUUGGCUUGGGAUGCUCAUGUGGCUUCUCAGUUUGAUUGAAUUCGUCAGACUAGGCUGUGGAUAGACUGAGGCCAUGGGUUGAACUGUCCUUCAACUUUCCCUGGGUCAGUGACUUCCUGUAUACUCAAGUCUUCUGGCCUCUUGACCCCAGUCCUAUGUCCUACUGUCUGCAGUAGCCUACACCAUCAUUACCUCCAACUUUACACUGUAGUUCAUGUUUAGCUAGCUGAAACAAUGUGUAUGGUUUUGGAUUUGGAAUACUGCGGAGAACAGGAUUGCCUUUUUAAAAUGCCUUUGGCUUUGUCCAUUUUGUCUCUUCGCACAAUGACUUGAGGGUAAGUGUGAUUUACCUGACUGACAGAGGGUCCAGCUUAACUGUAGCUGUUCUAACAAGGCUGUUUUAGCCCAAUGCUUUGCUGUGAUAUUUAUUCCAAAGAGAUAAUAACUUCAUACGAAUCAAUGCCAUGUUUGUCUCUUGUUUUUGCCAAUUAUGACAAUGAGCAUUGACCCAUUAGGGAUAUUAAUAAUACAUAGUGCUUUUUGAAGGACCCAAAGUCAGAGUUCAAUCGCAUUGACGUCUUUUACGCCAGUUAUUAUUUGUCUCAGUCCGUUGUGUCCAAACUCUGUAAGCGUGAUGGUUGACCACCACGGCCAGUCUCUGGUUUUACAGUGAGGUCCCUGUAACACACCCAUCCAUAAUGGUUGUACAGUGAGGUCCCUGUAGCACACCCAUCCAUAAUGGUUGUACAGUGAGGUCCCUGUAGCACACCCAUCCAUAAUGGUUGUACAGUGAGGUCCCUGUAGCACACCCAUCCAUAAUGGUUGUACAGUGAGGUCCCUGUAGCACACCCAUCCAUAAUGGUUGUACAGUGAGGUCCCUGUAGCACACCCAUCCAUAAUGGUUGUACAGUGAGGUCCCUGUUGCACACCCAUCCAUAAUGGUUGUACAGUGAGGUCCCUGUUGCACACCCAUCCAUAAAUAGGCUGAACAACACAGGGAGCUGACCUGAUAAGCUAACAGUUUAGGCAUUAAGGUAAAAGCACCACUUACUGUUCAGCAAAUCCUCCCUGGUUUCAAAGCACAACAAGGGGAUGUGAGGCUCUUUACUUAAAUGGAAUGUGUUUAAACCUUCAUCGAUGCCAUAGAAACCACCAUGUUUCAAAACCGUUGGGUGUACUACACACAGUAAAGUCCCUUCCUCCAGCACAGGGAAAUCAUAUUAGCUAUGCAUGUUCCCACACAUGGGAAAAGCUUACAAUCCUCAUUUGCUUUGAAAUAGUUAAAUAAGUAUGUAUGAGAACUUAUGAGUUGUGUUUUUGGUACAUUGGAAUAUUCUCCUUAUACUGAGAUACCAUGUGAAUAUUUCAUAACAUUUUGUUGCUCAUAAAGGCAUCUGAUAAGGUUUCCACAGCUAAGAUGAGCUACAGUCAUUUAAAUGGUACUAGUCAUUGCCAGGAAUCAAGGCUAAUAGACAGUGUAUAAAACAUUAGGAACACCUUCCCUCGGAAUAGCCUCAAUUCGUCAGGGCAUGGACUCUACAAGAUUGGCUUGUGGAGUCCAUGUUGGCUCCAAUGCUUUCCACAGUUGUGUCAAGUUGGCUGGAUGUCCUUGGGGUUGUGGACCAUUCUUGAUACACAAGGGAAACUGUUGAGCAUGAAAAAUCCAGCAGCGUUGCAGUUCUUGACACAAAACAGUGUGCCUGGCAGCUAGUUCCAUACCCUGUUCAAAGUCAGUCAAAUAUUUUGUCUCGUCCAUUUACCCUCUGAAUGGCACAUACACAAUCCAUGUCUUAAUUGUGUCAAGGCUUAAAAAUCUUUUAACCUGUCUCCUCCCCUUCAUCUACACUGAUUUAAGUGGAUUUAACAGGUGACAUCAAUAGGGGAUCAUAGACUGACCAGGUGGAUCCAGGGGAAAGCUAUGUCAUGGAAAGAGCAGUUGUUCUUAAUGUUUUGUAUUCUCACUGUAAAGUAAACGUUCCAGUUAGGGUAACUUGGUGUAACACGCACUCUGCCUGUACAUCUCACAGGAACCACUUCAUGUCACAAUUUUUCCCCAACACUUUCCCCUGGUUGUCACUGUUUCUCAACAAAAAAGUUAUAUUGGUCUCAUCACAAAAUGAUUUUGAGGUAGGGUGACGUUUU
rnacentral:lncRNA from 1 species